rnacentral:rRNA from 1 species
UACAGAGGGUGCAAGCGUUAAUCGGAAUUACUGGGCGUAAAGCGCGCGUAGGCGGAUACUUAAGUCGACUGUGAAAGCCCUGGGCUCAACCUAGGAACUGCAGUCGAUACUGAAUAUCUAGAGUAUGGGAGAGGGAAGUGGAAUUUUCGGUGUAGCGGUGAAAUGCGUAGAUAUCGGAAGGAACACCAGUGGCGAAGGCGACUUCCUGGACCAAUACUGACGCUGAGGUGCGAAAGCGUGGGGAGCAAACAGG